rnacentral:rRNA from 1 species
AUUGAACGCUGGCGGCAUGCUUUACACAUGCAAGUCGAACGGCAGCGCGGGCUUCGGCCUGGCGGCGAGUGGCGAACGGGUGAGUAAUACAUCGGAACGUGCCCCGUAGUGGGGGAUAGCUCGGCGAAAGCCGGAUUAAUACCGCAUACUACCUGCUGGUGAAACCGGGGGAUCUUCGGACCUCGCGCUAUUGGAGCGGCCGAUGCCGGAUUAGCUAGUUGGUGGGGUAAAGGCCUACCAAGGCGACGAUCUGUAGCUGGUCUGAGAGGACGACCAGCCACACUGGGACUGAGACACGGCCAAGACGCCUAAGGGAGGCAGCAGUGGGGAAUUUUGGACAAUGGGCGAAAGCCUGAUCCAGCAAGGCCGCGUGUGUGAUGAAGGCCUUCGGGUUGUAAAGAACUUUUGGCGGGAACGAAAAGGACUGUGCCAAUACCACGGUUCGAUGACGGUACCCGCAGAAUAAGCACCGGCUAACUACGUG